rnacentral:rRNA from 1 species
CGUGUCCAAUCAUGCAAGUUCGAAGCGGUACACUUCGGGUGACGAGCGGCGGACGGGUGAGUAACGCGUAGGAACGUACCCCAAACUGAGGGAUAAGCAUCAGAAAUGGUGUCUAAUACCGCAUAUGGUCUUCGGAUUAAAGCUUCGGCGGUUUGGGAACGGCCUGCGUCAGAUUAGCUAGUUGGUAAGGUAAAAGCUUACCAAGGCAACGAUCUGUAGCUGGUUUGAGAGGAUGAUCAGCCACACUGGAACUGAGACACGGUCCAGACUUCUACGGAAGGCAGCAGUAGGGAAUCUUCCACAAUGGGCGAAAGCCUGAUGGAGCAACACCGCGUGCAGGACGAAACCUUUCGGGGCAUAAACUGCUUUUAUAAGUGAAGAUUUUGACGGUAACUUAUGAAUAAGGAUCGGCUAAUUCCGUGCCAGCAGCCGCGGUCAUACGGAAGAUCCGAGCGUUAUCCGGAAUUACUGGGCGUAAAGAGAUGCGUAGGCGGUAUGUUAAGUAGAAUGUGAAAUUCUGUGGCUCAACCACAGAACUGCACUCUAAACUGACAAACUUGAGAAUAUGAGAGGUCGCUGGAAUUCCUAGUGUAGGAGUGAAAUCCGUAGAUAUUAGGAGGAACACCAAUGGCGAAGGCAGGCGACUGGCAUAUUUCUGACGCUAAGGCUCGAAAGCGUAGGUAGCGAACGGGAUUAGAUACCCCCGGUAGUC